AGGUGGUUUGUUAAGUGAGAUGUGAAAGCCCAGGGCUCAACCUGGGAACUGCAUUUGAUACUGGCAAACUAGAGUACGGUAGAGGAAUGGGGAAUUUCUGGUGUAGCGGUGAACUGCGUAGAGAUCAGAAGGAACACCAAUGGCGAAGGCAACAUUCUGGACCGAUACUGACACUGAGGGACGAAAGCUAGGGGAUCAAACAGGAUUAGAUACCCUGGUAGUCCACGCUGUAAACGAUGAGUACUAGCUGUUGGA
rnacentral:rRNA from 1 species